rnacentral:lncRNA from 1 species
UAAACACAAAGGCAUGUCCCUGUACAAAACACCUACAGAAGCCAAGAAGCCGGAAUUGCCCCUGGGUGCGCCAGUCCGUGUUCAGAAAAGAAGGCUCCUUUCCAGUUAUUUUGCCANGUGUUCAGAAAAGAAGGCUCCUUUACAGUUGUUUUGCCAACGAGAAAGGGUUGUUGUCGAGCCCUGUGUUUUAUUCUGAAAGAGAACUGAAAAAAGAGGAGCCACAGCCGUUUGUAAAAAAUCAAGUGCGAAAAAAUUUGUUGUCCGAUUUGGAAAAAACAGAAUUAAAGGCAGAGGUAAACCUUUUUUUUUGGAACAAAUUACAAAAUGUUUUAUAAAAAUAAAGGGUUAAAUCUUUUUGUUUUUAUAGGGAGGAAUGGAAGAAGAGCCUAUAUAUGAGGACAUGGCAACCGAGGAACAGCCGCAGGAUAGCGAUGUUGAAAACCAGCCGAUAGACCCCGAGUUGUGGAAAGAUGGCGAUAUUGUUACGAUAACCAAGCCUGGGCCAUACAAGAUUACUGCUUUUGUGCAUAACAAACGGCCAACAGUUGCAGAGACAGAAACACCCGAGGAGGCUGCUGAAACUAUGAUUGACGGAGGUGAUUCAGAAACAAAGGACACAAACGGGGUGUCAAUGGUAAAACCCAAAGAACACGACGAGGUAAAAGUUACUUAAAUAAUUUAAAAAAAAAUAUAAAUAUAAACAUAUAUAAGAGUGGUAAAAUAAAACUAUAUGUUUUGUGUUUAAUAACA